UACAAACAUUUGCCAUCACUAAAAGAGUACCAUAAACGAAGAAAGUGUGCAGCGUGUCGUAACGGUUGUUAUCAGCGAUUAUUAUUGAGUGUGCCUUAUCGAGAUUGAGUAUGCGAAUUGUUAAUGUGGUAUUACCUCCGUAUUAACAUGUCGAACUUGUUUAAUUCAUAUAAUGAAAUGCUUCGUUUUUAUAUGAGUGGUCAAUAGAUUAGAUUAUCAUGGGUAACCGUACGUAAUCUGCUAGCUCACAUGUGUUUCAAUUAGGUAAGUUCUUGUCAGAAAUUAUGAAAAUGUUUAUAUUUCAUUACGAUUAUUUAUUGGCAAUGAAUAAUAGUGGCUGAUAUGAUAUCAUUAUUUCGAUUAAUGAAUAAGAAUUAUACCUAUUGUAAGGAAAAGAAGCGACGGAUUGUAUACAAAAAUUCACAUGACAUUUUAUAUGUAGGUAACUGGUGCGCUGUUGUAUAUUUCGGCCAAUAAAGAGAGAAUGGGUAAAGUUCACAAACGGACUUUCGGGGAAAACGUGCACAAUUUUUUAGUGGAGAACCAGAUUAUAGUUAAAUAUGGAGGGCAGAUACUUCAACCACCAAAUGAAGACGCUUACUUCGAUGCUCUCAGAGUAUGAUAAUGAAACGCUCUGCUUCGGAAGUUCCUUAUGUGGCCUUCAGCAAUCAUUUAAGAAUUUUCCAAAAAUCGAUUUUUUUUUUAUUUUCUUAAUGUACAUAAAUUUAAGAAUACAAACAGAAAAUUUUAUAUCGUUCCGGUUUGAAAAAGCGUUUGAGAGCGCUUGGAAGUACAAGGACAAAUUUUAAACUCGGUUUUUCAAAGUAAAAAAAAUUUGGAAAAUUA